rnacentral:rRNA from 1 species
UACAGAGGCCUCGAGCGUUUAUUCGGAAUCACUGGGCUUAAAGGGUGCGUAGGCGGCCAUGUAAGUGGGGUGUGAAAUCCCUCGGCUCAACCGAGGAACUGCGCUCCAUACUGCAUGGCUUGAGGGAGACAGGGGUAAGCGGAACUGAUGGUGGAGCGGUGAAAUGCGUUGAUAUCAUCAGGAACACCGGUGGCGAAAGCGGCUUACUGGGUCUCUUCUGACGCUGAGGUACGAAAGCUAGGGGAGCGAACGGG